CACAGUGGCGCGCCGUUCCGAGCAAUGAGAGUGCAGGCACAGGUGCGGCCGGUUUCCUUGUCGCUGUCCCGUGCUGAGUGAGUUUUGCCUCGAAGCUGGUCCGAAGUCGCGCCUGCUCUUUUGUGUGCCCAAGGCAGAUUUCCAGAAGUAGAAAUCUGUCUUCUAACUCUAAGGCCUUGGGAGAUGAAGGAUCCGUGAUUCAAAGGCAGAAAUAGAUGGAGUCUUGCUGUGUUCUCCAGGAUUGAGUACAGUGGCUGUUCACAGAUGUAAUCAUAGUACACUACAGCCUCAAACUCCCGGGGUCAAGCAGUCCUCCUGCUUCAGCCUCUUGAGGAGCUGGGACUACAGGCCCAUAUCACCAUGCCCACUAGAUUCACAAUCAUUUUGCUUGUGGAAGGUCUUGCCUCAAUGUUGAUAGGUGCUGACUGAUCAGGGUCAGGUUGCUGACUGAUCAGAAUGGUAGUUUCUGAAUGUUGGGAAUGGCUAUGGCAAUUUCUUAAAAUAAGACAACAAUGAAGUUUGCUGCAUUGAUUGACUCCCUUUCACAAAGGAUUUCUCCAUAUCAUGCAAUGCUGUUUGAUAGCAUUUUACCCAUAGUAGAACUUCUUUCAAAAUUGGAGUCAAUUCUCUCAAACCUUGUCUCUCUUGGUCAACAAAGUUUAUGCACUAUUCUACAUCCUUUGUUGUCAUUUCAACAAUAUUUACGGAGUCUUCACCAUGAAUAGAUUCCUUUUCGAACAACCACUUUCUUUGCUCAGCUAUAAGAAGCAGCUCUUCACCCAUUCAAGUUUUAUCAUGAGAUUGCAGCAAUUCAGUCACAUCAAAUUCCACUUCUAAUUCUAGUUGUUUUUCUAUUUCCACCACAUCUGCAGGUACUUUCUCCACAGAAAUUUCAAACCUCUCAAAGUCAUCCAUGAGGGUUGGAAUCAACUUCUUCCAAAUUUCUGUGGAUGUUGAUGUUUUGACCUCCUCCCAAUCACAAAUAUUCUUAAUGGCAUCUAGAAUGGUGAAUCUUUUCCAGAAGGUUUUCAAUGUGCUUUGCCCAGUUCCAUCAGAAGAAUCACUGUCUGUGGUAGCUCUAGCCUUAUUAAAUGUAUAUUUUAAAUAAUAACACCUAAAAAUCAAAAUGACUCCUUGAUCCAUGGGCUGUAGAAUAGACAUUGUGUUAGCAGUCAUGAAAACAAGAUUAAUCUCCUUGUACAGCACCAUUAUAGCUCUUGGGUGACCACGUGCAUUGUCAAUGACCAGUAAUAUUUUGAAAGGACACUUUUUUUUGAGCAGUAGGUCUCAACAGUGGACUUAAAAUAUUCAGUAAGCCGUGUUGUAAACAGAUGUGCUGCCAGCUAGGCAUUGUUGUUCCAUUUAUAGAGCACAGGUAGAGCAGAUUUAGCAUAAUUUGUCAGGACCCUAGGAUUUUUGGAAUGGUAUAUGGGCACUGGCUUCAACUUCAAGUCACCAACUACAUUAACUCCUAACAAGAAGAGUCAGCCUGUCCUUGAAAGUUUGAAAACAGGCAUGGAUUUCUCCUCUCUAGCUAUGAAAGUCUUAGAUGGCAUCUUCUUCCAAGAGAAGUUGUUUCAUGUACAUUAAAAAUCUGUUGUUUGGUGUACCCACCCUCUUCGAUGAUCUUAGCUAGAUCUUCUGGAUAACUUGCUACAGUUUCUACAUCAGCACUUGUUGCCUUACCUUACACUUUUAUGUUAUGGAGAUAGCUGCUUUCCUUAAACCACAGGAACGAACCUCUGCUAUCUUCUAGCUUUUCUUGGGCAACUUCCUUCUUUCAGCUUUCAUGGAACUGAAUAGUGUUAGGAUCUUGCUCUGGGUUAGGUUUUGGCUUAAGGGAAUGUGGUAGCUGAUUUGAUUUAUUUAGAGCACUAAAACUUUCGUCAUAUCAGCUUUAAAGCUGGUUUGCUUUACUAUCACUUAUGUGUUCACUGGAGUAGCACUUUAAAUUUCCUCCAAGCUUGUUUGCUUUUCAUUCACAACGUGGCUGUUUGGUGCGAAGAGGCCUAGCUUCCCAGUCUUGGCUUUCAACAUGCCUUCCUCACUAAGCAUAGUCAUUUCUAGCUAUUUAUUUGAAGUUAGAGAUGUGCAACUCUUCUUUCACUUGAACACUUAGAGGCCAUUGUAGGGUUAUUACUUGGCUUAAUUUCAAUAUUGUUGUGUCUGGAGGAAUAGAGAGGCCUGGGGAGACAAAGAGAAAUGGGGAACAGCUGGUCAUUUGAGCAGUGAGAACACACGCAACAUUUAUUGAUUAAAUUCGCUGUUUUAUGGGCUCGGUUCAUGGUGCUCCAAAACAAUUAUAAUAGUAACAUCAAACAUCACUGGUCACAGGUCGCCAUAACAGAUAUAAUGAUAAUGAUAAUAAUAAUAAUGUUUGAAAUAUUGCAAGAAUUACCAAAAUGUGACUCAGAGAAACAACAAAGUGAGCACACGCUGUUGGAAAAAUGGUACCGAUAGACUUGAUCCAUGCAGGGUUGCCACAAACGAUUAAUUUGCAAAAAAACAAAACAAAAGAACAUGCAGUAUCUGUGAAGCACAAUAAAGCAUACUGCAAAU
rnacentral:lncRNA from 1 species